ACCAGCGGAGGGAUCAUUACCGAGUUUACAACUCCCAAACCCAAUGUGAACCAUACCAAACUGUUGCCUCGGCGGGGUCACGCCCCGGGUGCGUCGCAGCCCCGGAACCAGGCGCCCGCCGGAGGGACCAACCAAACUCUUUACUGUAGUCCCCUCGCGGACGUUAUUUCUUACAGCUCUGAGCAAAAAAUUCAAAAUGAAUCAAAACUUUCAACAACGGAUCUCUUGGUUCUGGCAUCGAUGAAGAACGCAGCGAAAUGCGAUAAGUAAUGUGAAUUGCAGAAUUCAGUGAAUCAUCGAAUCUUUGAACGCACAUUGCGCCCGCCAGUAUUCUGGCGGGCAUGCCUGUCCGAGCGUCAUUUCAACCCUCGAACCCCUCCGGGGGGUCGGCGUUGGGGAUCGGGAACCCCUCAGACGGGAUCCCGGCCCCGAAAUACAGUGGCGGUCUCGCCGCAGCCUCUCCUGCGCAGUAGUUUGCACAACUCGCACCGGGAGCGCGGCGCGUCCACGUCCGUAAAACACCCAACUUUCUGAAAUGUUGACCUCGGAUCAGGUAGGAAUACCCGCUGAACUUAAGCAUAUCAAUAAGCGGGAG
rnacentral:rRNA from 1 species